rnacentral:rRNA from 1 species
UACGUAGGGUGCAAGCGUUGUCCGGAAUCAUUGGGCGUAAAGAGCGUGUAGGCGGCUCGGUAAGUCCGCUGUGAAAGUCCAGGGCUCAACCCUGGAAUGCCGGUGGAAACUGUCGAGCUAGAGUCCGGAAGAGGCGAGUGGAAUUCCUGGUGUAGCGGUGAAAUGCGUAGAGAUCCGGAAGAACACCGGUGGCGAAGGCGGCCUGCUGGCGUACGGCUGACACUGAGGCGCGACAGCGUGGGGAGCAAACAGG